UUGAAGGAAACUACUUUUUUCGUUUCUGUUUUGACUACUACCAAAUUGAACACUUGCUCCAGAGGCCCUUAAGACAUAGCUCUUUUUCACUACCGAGAAGAAAAGAAAUAUUGCAAAGGCAGCAAGAAGACUAACAGCUCAAUCUUCCCAAGAAACUGGAAAAACUAUACCAUUUUGGUUAUCAGGUAUGGUUUCUUAUAACUCUAUUUUAUUUACAAGUAAUCGGUUGAUUAGUUUGCUUUUAUCUGUUAAAAUCUGUGCUUUCUGGAGAUGGAAUGCCAGGUUACAAAUCUGAGUUAAAAAUCAGCCUUUCUCCCAAGAGACUAAGAAUGAUUUCCUUCCUAAUCCUCGCACACCUAGUUGCUAUUAUGAAUUGCAGGAUUUGAAGAAGUCUAUGGAACAGUUUUUAGAGGUGAAGCAUGAUGAUUUUUAGCUAAUAAAUGUUUCCUAUCAUCAGAAACUGUACUUGUUGACCUAAAACUUUUCUUUGUAUUUCUAUAGGAAACUGCCCUUUAAAUCAAUCUCAUUCUUUGUAUA